rnacentral:rRNA from 1 species
CCUACGGGAUGCACCAGUGGGGAAUAUUGGACAAUGGGCGAAAGCCUGAUCCAGCAAUGCCGCGUGUGUGAAGAAGGUCUUCGGAUCGUGAAGCACUUCCGACGGGGACGAUGAUGACGGUACCCGUAGAAGAAGCCCCGGCUAACUUCGUGCCAGCAGCCGCGGUAAUACGAAGGGGGAUAGCGUUGCUCGGAAUGACUGGGCGUAAAGGGCGCGUAGGCGGUUUAUGCAGUCAGAUGUGAAAUCCCCGGGCUUAACCUGGGAACUGCAUUUGAGACGCAUAGACUAGAGGUCGAGAGAGGGUUGUGGAAUUCCCAGUGUAGAGGUGAAAUUCGUAGAUAUUGGGAAGAACACCGGUGGCGAAGGCGGCAACCUGGCUCGAUACUGACGCUGAGGCGCGAAAGCGUGGGGAGCAAACAGGAUUAGAUACCCUCGUAGUC